rnacentral:rRNA from 1 species
AAUAUUGGACAAUGGGGGCAACCCUGAUCCAGCCAUGCCGCGUGUGUGAAGAAGGUCUUCGGCUCGUACCGCACGUUCAGUUGGGAUGAAGGUCUUUUGGCUAAUACCCUGAUGUUUUGACGUUACCAACAGAAUAAGCACCGGCUAACUCUGUGCCAGCAGCCGCGGUAAUACAGAGGGUGCAAGCGUUAAUCGGAAUUACUGGGCGUAAAGCGCGCGUAGGUGGUUCAGUAAGAUGGGUGUGAAAUCCCCGGGCUUAACCUGGGAACUGCUUUCAUAACUGCUGAGCUAGAGUACGGUAGAGGGUAGUGGAAUUUCCUGUGUAGCGGUGAAAUGCGUAGAUAUAGGAAGGAACACCAGUGGCGAAGGCGACUACCUGGACUGAUACUGACACUGAGGUGCGAAAGCGUGGGGAGCAAAC